rnacentral:rRNA from 1 species
GACGAACGCUGGCGGCGUGCUUAACACAUGCAAGUCGAGCGGUAAGGCCCUUUCGGGGGUACACGAGCGGCGAACGGGUGAGUAACGCGUGGGUGACCUACCUUCGAGUGGGGGAUAACGUCCCGAAAGGGACGCUAAUACCGCAUAACAUCCUGCCUUUGAACAGGCGAUGAUCAAAGCCGGGGAUCGCAAGACCUGGCGCUUGAUGAGGGGCCCGCGUCUGAUUAGCUAGUUGGUGAGGAAUGGCCCACCAAGGCAACGAUCAGUAUCCGGCCUGAGAGGGCGGACGGACACACUGGGACUGAGACACGGCCCAGACUCCUACGGGAGGCAGCAGUGGGGAAUUGUUCGCAAUGGGCGCAAGCCUGACGACGCAACGCCGCGUGGAGGAUGAACGUCUUCGGAUUGUAAAACUCCUGUUGCUCGGGACGAAUGGCUCCGGCCUAAUACGUCGGAGUGUGACGGUACCGGGUGAGGAAGCCCCGGCUAACUCUGUGCCAGCAGCCGCCGCU